ACGAGGCUACAACAACAAUUUGUUUUCAAACAAAGACAAAAGGACAUUAUACACAUCAUAGAAGACAACUCGCAUAGUGAAAAACUGACACUUGUAUGUGAUGACAAUUAGCUGAUAAGAUUGUAUACAGGAAAAACAGUCGACAUAAAACACCAUUUGGACAUAAAAGAAUGAUAAGGGCAUCAAAUUAAGUUUCAAGGGGAAAAAAACAAGUUGAACCUCAAAACAAGUUUUUACAUGAUUAUUUGACACAGUGUCUUCGUAGAUGAAACUAAUCAGGAUCCAGUGGUGGAUGUUUAGUGUACCAGAAAUAUUCACAUGGAGGAGUAUAUCUCCAAAUUCAAUACUUUAAAGUUAGUUUUGAAAGAAUAAAGAUAAAAAAUUACUUACCUUUUUUUAAGUGAAAACACAUAAUUUUGACAGAAAGGAAUAUUUUCCCUCACUUAUCCGAUUUUAUUACUGAUGAAAUCAACUGCAAAAGAAAGCUUUAUUUUCCAUGAUUUCCAUUUUCUAUGAGUUAUUUAUAAGAAAACCUUUUUAAGCAUGGUGUAAACAUGAAUACUUGACAUAUAUUGUAAUAGUUAAUGUAUACUGUAGACCUUUAAAUGAAAAUGAUUUGUUGAUUGUUGAAUUUUAUAAUUUAGGAUUACACAAUGUGUAUUAUUGUAUUGACUGAAAGAGGUCUGCUAAAUGUUGAACUUCA